rnacentral:misc_RNA from 1 species
UUAAGUUCAGCGGGUAGUCCUACCCGAGUUGAGAUUAAAGAUUCAAAGCGUCCAAAGACGACUGGAAGCGGCUUCAAACGCGCGCUUUCGGCCACCUCAAAGAAGCGUCCUCGACGAAUAGAACUUACUACGCCGAGUGGAACCGUAAGGCGGGUCGCCAGCUAAUACAUUUCAAGCGGGUCGAUCGUGGAGGACCGACG